AACGAACGCUGGCGGCAUGCCUAACACAUGCAAGUCGGACGAGACCUUCGGGUCUAGUGGCGCACGGGUGCGUAACGCGUGGGAACCUGCCUUUAGGUUCGGAAUAACUCAGAGAAAUUUGAGCUAAUACCGGAUGAUGUCCUCGGACCAAAGAUUUAUCGCCUUUAGAUGGGCCCGCGUUGGACUAGCUAGUUGGUGGGGUAAAGGCCUACCAAGGCGACGAUCCAUAGCGGGUCUGAGAGGUUGAUCAGCCACACUGGGACUGAGACACGGCGCAGACUCCUACGGGAGGCAGCAGUGGGGAAUAUUGGACAAUGGGCGAAAGCCUGAUCCAGCAAUGCCGCGUGAGUGAUGAAGGCCUUAGGGUUGUAAAGCUCUUUUACCCGAGAUGAUAAUGACAGUAUCGGGAGAAUAAGCUCCGGCUAACUCCGUGCCAGCAGCCGCUGUAAGAC
rnacentral:rRNA from 1 species